ACUCCUACGGGAGGCAGCAGUGGGGAAUAUUGGACACUGGGCGCAAGCCUGAUCCAGCCAUGCCGCGUGAGUGAUGAAGGCCCUAGGGUUGUAAAGCUCUUUCACCGGUGAAGAUAAUGACGGUAACCGGAGAAGAAGCCCCGGCUAACUUCGUGCCAGCAGCCGCGGUAAUACGAAGGGGGCUAGCGUUGUUCGGAUUUACUGGGCGUAAAGCGCACGUAGGCGGACUAUUAAGUCAGGGGUGAAAUCCCGGGGCUCAACCCCGGAACUGCCUUUGAUACUGGUAGUCUUGAGUUCGAGAGAGGUGAGUGGAAUUCCGAGUGUAGAGGUGAAAUUCGUAGAUAUUCGGAGGAACACCAGUGGCGAAGGCGGCUCACUGGCUCGAUACUGACGCUGAGGUGCGAAAGCGUGGGGAGCAAACAGGAUUAGAAACCCUUGUAGUCCC
rnacentral:rRNA from 1 species